CCUACGGGUGGCUGCAGUGGGGAAUAUUGCACAAUGGGCGCAAGCCUGAUGCAGCCAUGCCGCGUGCGUGAAGAAGGCCUUCGGGUUGUAAAGCACUUUCAGCGGGGAGGAAGGCGGUGAGGUUAAUAACCUCAUCGAUUGACGUUACCCGCAGAAGAAGCACCGGCUAACUCCGUGCCAGCAGCCGCGGUAAUACGGAGGGUGCAAGCGUUAAUCGGAAUUACUGGGCGUAAAGCGCACGCAGGCGGUCUGUCAAGUCGGAUGUGAAAUCCCCGGGCUCAACCUGGGAACUGCAUUCGAAACUGGCAGGCUAGAGUCUUGUAGAGGGGGGUAGAAUUCCAGGUGUAGCGGUGAAAUGCGUAGAGAUCUGGAGGAAUACCGGUGGCGAAGGCGGCCCCCUGGACAAAGACUGACGCUCAGGUGCGAAAGCGUGGGGAGCAAACAGGAUUAGAUACCCUAGUAGUC
rnacentral:rRNA from 1 species